CACGUGAGCAACCUGCCCCUGACUCUGGGAUAAGCGCUGGAAACGGCGUCUAAUACUGGAUACGAACCAUGAAGGCAUCUUCAGUGGUUGGAAAGAUUUAUUGGUUGGGGAUGGGCUCGCGGCCUAUCAGCUUGUUGGUGAGGUAAUGGCUCACCAAGGCGUCGACGGGUAGCCGGCCUGAGAGGGUGACCGGCCACACUGGGACUGAGACACGGCCCAGACUCCUACGGGAGGCAGCAGUGGGGAAUAUUGCACAAUGGGCGCAAGCCUGAUGCAGCAACGCCGCGUGAGGGAUGACGGCCUUCGGGUUGUAAACCUCUUUUAGCAGGGAAGAAGCGAAAGUGACGGUACCUGCAGAAAAAGCGCCGGCUAACUA
rnacentral:rRNA from 1 species